GACGAACCGUGCGAACGUUGUUCGGAAUCACUGGGCUUAAAGGGCGCGUAGGCGGUUGGUCAAGUCAGGGGUGAAAUCUUUCGGCUCAACCGGAAAACUGCCUUUGAUACUGACUGGCUGGUGGGAGAUAGGGGUUGCGGGAACUACCAGUGGAGCGGUGAAAUGCGUUGAUAUUGGUAGGAACGCCGGUGGCGAAAGCGCGCAACUGGAUCUCUUCUGACGCUGAGGCGCGAAAGCUAGGGGAGCAAACGGG
rnacentral:rRNA from 1 species